UCUUUCUUUCUUUCUUAAUUUAUAUUUUUGGCUGCGUUGGGCCUUCGUUGCUGCACGCACGCUUUCUCUAGUUGUGGCCAGCUGGGGCUACUCUUCGUUGUGGUGUGUGGGCUUCUCAUUGUGGUGGCUUCUCGUUGUGGAGUACGGGCUCUAGGCACAUGGGCUUCAGUAGUUGUGAAACACGGGCUCAGUAGUUGUGGCACGCAGGCUCGGUAGUUGUGUCUCAUGGACUGUAGAGCACAGGCUCAGUAGUUGUAGCAUGCAGGCUUAGUUGCUCCGUGGCAUGUGGGAUCUUCCCGGACCAGGGCUCGAACCCGUGUCCCCUGCAUUGGCAGGCGGAUUCUCAACCACUGCACCACCAGGGAACCCCUGAAUCUAUUUUUUAAACAGCUUUAGUUGACAUAUAAUUUAUGUACCAUAAGGUUUCCCUGUUCAAAGUGUAAAAUUCCAGGGUGUUAGUAUAUUUACAAUUGUGCAAGCAUCCUCAUAUUCUGAUUUUAAAUCAUUUUUAUCACCCCAAAAGAAAACUUGUAUCUGCUGGCAGUCACCCCUCAUUCCAGGACUUCACCCGCCCUUGGUCUAGGCAGUUUAUUAAUCUACUUUCUUUUUCUUUUUCUUUUUUUAAGGGGAACUUUAUUUUUAUUUAUUUAUUUUUGGCUGUCUUGGGUCUUCGUUGCUGCGCAGGCUUUUCUCUAGUUGUGGUGAGCGGGGGCUACUCUUCGUUGCCGUGCACAGGCUUCUCAUUGCAGUGAAUUAUCUUGUUGUGGAGCAUGGGCUUUAGGUGUGUGGUCUUCAGUAGUUGUGGCACGUGGGCUCAGUAGUUGCAGCACACAGGCUUAGUUGCUCCGCAACAUGUGGGAUCUUCCCGGACCAGGGCUCGAACCCGUGUCCCCCUGAAUUGGCAGGCAGAUUCUUAACCCCUGCACCACGAGGGAAGCCCUGUUAAUCUACUUUCUAUCUCUAUAGAUUUGCUCAUUCUGUGCCUUUCGUAUAAGUGUUAUGUGGAGUCUUAAUGGUCUUAAAGUUUAUUGGUUUUGUGCCACCGAUCAGUACAACAUUCCUCUU